rnacentral:rRNA from 1 species
UACAGAGGGUGCAAACGUUGUUCGGAAUUACUGGGCGUAAAGCGUGUGUAGGCGGCUCUGCAAGUCGGAUGUGAAAGCCCUGGGCUCAACCCAGGAAGUGCACUCGAUACUGCAGAGCUUGAGUAUCGGAGAGGUUGGUGGAAUUCUCGGUGUAGAGGUGAAAUUCGUAGAUAUCGAGAGGAACACCGGUGGCGAAGGCGGCCAACUGGACGAAUACUGACGCUGAGACACGAAAGCGUGGGGAGCAAACAGG